rnacentral:tRNA from 1 species
GGGGCUGUAGCUCAGUGGUAGAGCACUUGCCUCGCAUGUGUGAGGCACUGGAUUUCAUCCUCAGCACCA